rnacentral:rRNA from 1 species
CCCUUAGAUGUUCUGGGCUGCACGCGCGCUACACUGACGCACGCAACAGGUGCCUGCUCCGAGAGGACUGGGUAAUCAUUUGAGUGUGCGUCGUGAUGGGGAUAGAAUAUUGUAAUUAUUACUCUUCAACGAGGAAUUCCUAGUAAGCGCCAGUCAGCAGCUUGCGCUGAUUACGUCCCUGCCCUUUGUACACACCGCCCGUCGCUCCUACCGAUGGGUGAUCCGGUGAAUGAUUCGGACUUCAGCGGCUCCCCUGGGGUGCGCCGGAGAAAGUUUUGUGAACCUUAUCACUUGGAGGAGGGAGAAGUCGUAACA